UGUGAAGAUGCAGUGUACCCGCGGCAAGACGGAAAGACCCCGUGAACCUUUACUAUAGCUUGACACUGAACAUUGAGCCUUGAUGUGUAGGAUAGGUGGGAGGCUUUGAAGUGUGGACGCCAGUCUGCAUGGAGCCGACCUUGAAAUACCACCCUUUAAUGUUUGAUGUUCUAACGUUGGCCCGUAAUCCGGGUUGCGGACAGUGUCUGGUGGGUAGUUUGACUGGGGCGGUCUCCUCCUAAAGAGUAACGGAGGAGCACGAAGGUUGGCUAAUCCUGGUCGGACAUCAGGAGGUUAGUGCAAUGGCAUAAGCCAGCUUGACUGCGAGCGUGACGGCGCGAGCAGGUGCGAAAGCAGGUCAUAGUGAUCCGGUGGUUCUGAAUGGAAGGGCCAUCGCUCAACGGAUAAAAGGUACUCCGGGGAUAACAGGCUGAUACCGCCCAAGAGUUCAUAUCGACGGCGGUGUUUGGCACCUCGAUGUCGGCUCAUCACAUCCUGGGGCUGAAGUAGGUCCCAAGGGUAUGGCUGUUCGCCAUUUAAAGUGGUACGCGAGCUGGGUUUAGAACGUCGUGAGACAGUUCGGUCCCUAUCUGCCGUGGGCGCUGGAGAACUGAGGGGGGCUGCUCCUAGUACGAGAGGACCGGAGUGGACGCAUCACUGGUGUUCGGGUUGUCAUGCCAAUGGCACUGCCCGGUAGCUAAAUGCGGAAGAGAUAAGUGCUGAAAGCAUCUAAGCACGAAACUUGCCCCGAGAUGAGUUCUCCCUGACUCCUUGAGAGUCCUGAAGGAACGUUGAAGACGACGACGUUGAUAGGCCGGGUGUGUAAGCGCAGCGAUGCGUUGAGCUAACCGGUACUAAUGAACCGUGAGGCUUAACCUUACAACGCCGAAG
rnacentral:rRNA from 1 species